GAUGAACGCUGGCGGCGUACCUAAUACAUGCAAGUCGAGCGGAAAGGCCUCUUCGGAGGUACUCGAGCGGCGGACGGCUGAGUAACACGUAGGAACGUACCCUGAUGUGAGGGAUAACUGCUCGAAAGAGUAGCUAAUACCGCAUGUGCUCUAAGGAGUAAAGCUUCGGCGCUUUGGGAACGGCCUGCGUCCGAUUAGCUAGAUGGUGAGGUAAUGGCUCACCAUGGCGACGAUCAGUAGCUGGUCUGAGAGGAUGAUCAGCCAGACUGGGACUGAGACACGGCCCAGACUCCUACGGGAGGCAGCGGUAGGGAAUUUUCCACAAUGGCGAAAGCCUGAUGGAGCAACGCCGCGUGCAGGAUGAAUGCCUUCGGGUUGUAAACUGCUUUUAUAUGUGACGAAUAUGACGGUAGCAUAUGAAUAAGGAUCGGCUAACUCCGUGCCAGCAGCCGCGGUAA
rnacentral:rRNA from 1 species